UUCCCAGUAGCUCAGUUGGCAGAGCGACCGGCUGUUAACCGGUGUGUCGUUGGUUCGAGUCCAACCUGGGGAGCCA
rnacentral:tRNA from 1 species